rnacentral:tRNA from 1 species
GCCCGCCUAGCUCAAUCGGAUAGAGCGUCAGACUCUUACAGGCGGGAGAACAUCUCCUUCCGACAUUCCGUCGGAAUCUGAAGGCUGCGAGUUCGACCCUCGCGGUGGGCU